UCGGUUUAGUGUUUCAAUAAUUAUAUUGUUUGUUUGUUAGUUAUUAAUUAGUUUUAAGUCUGCGUUAUUUAGCCUUGAUGGCGGAUAUUGAAUUUAACAAAUGAAAUGAAAUGAAAUGAAAUUACCUAGGGAACAAGAACAAAUAGCAGGAAACAGAAAUCGCGUCCACUGGCUUCGCAGCGGCAAGCAAUGACGCCAACACUCAAUGCGAUCAUUUUAGGCGAAUCAAUUUGGGCGGAAUUUCGAUAUGACACCCUGGUCCGCGAACCGGUCCAACAUCUCCCAGUUGCGUUCCAUCGACAUUUCCUGGACCAACAUGAUGCAAAAGCUCUACUCUAAAAAUGCUGUUGCGAAAACUGAAGAAGAUAUUCAAAACAAUCCAUGGUAGAUCUUAAAAACAUGCCAACACGCAAGUUUUUGUCCGUUAUGGCGAAAAUUCCGGAUAACUGACGAAAUGGUAGUUCGCAAGGUUGUAGAAGUCACAAGAAUUUAUCUCUCUUGGUUUUCUUUCUACUUUCUACUUUCACGGACCACAGCCGAAUGAAGUCUUUUUUUUAAUGCCUUUUAAACGUUACUAGGAAAUCAGCAUUCUAGACACUUGCUCUCCAACGUUUGAGUCAUCUAAUUUGAUGCUCUCCAACCUUUUUGGGAUCACGGACCACUUGGCUUUGAAAAUACAUUUGCCGCAACCCACAUAUAUUGAGGGCAUUUUUUGUGGACCUAUUUCAAAGUUUUUGAUCAAAAAUAUGUGGAAAUCUUAUUCUAGAUAUGCCUGUUAAAAAUUUAAUCUUGAUUGCGGGCAAUGAAAACUUCACGAUGUAUAAUGUAAUAAGCUUUUCUUUAAAAAAAAUCAAUUCUUUCGUGGACCACUUUUGUUAACGCCACGGACCACAGGUUGGAGUUCACUAAUCUCAUUGACCCGAUUCAGUUACAAUUUUGGUAGGCUUUGAUCAUUUUGCUUAGUAAGUUUGCUCAUUUUUCAAAUAUCGCUACUGAUUCUACUAAUCAUGAAGCUCCAAUCGACCAGGGGACGGUUCCAAACAGUAUCAGCGAUCUACCUUCAAUCUCGAGUAUCCAUCACAGCUGGGGUAGCAAAUCCUUGAAGCCCCUGGCGCCUCGUUUCUAUAUUGCGCGUCGGGUAUCGCUUCUCAGACCUCAAAAGACGCCAAAUGAAAUCAGGAAGAAGACUGUGAACGAAUUUAGUUGAUUCAUAUUUCAUAUCUGUUAGGUUAUCUACAACUUCCAAACGUCCUAUUCACCUCCACCCAAGGAGUAAUCUAUAUUUAGCCCAAUCGGUAGCGGUGUAAUUGUAAACCUUCAACGUCCGCAAUCGCUGCGAUCAUGGAACUCGCAGCCACCACGAGUACCGCCAGGAACGUCCAAAUUGGCUUAUGCAAUACUUCAUCUUCGGCACCUAUCUGCCAACGCUUCCGUACCUCGCACUUCCACGUCUUAAUUCCCAUUUACGGUGCGCUUCCUGGGUUUGGAAAGCGUCAGUCAUGUUUAAUCUGUCAACGCCCAAUUCCAACGGCUUGGAAACUGGGAGCGACGGGAACGGGCGCGAAUGUUUACAUUCAUCUAUCUAUGUAUGUGCCUCUAUGUGUGUGUGUGAUGAAGUGUGAGUGAUCAAACGGCUGUGAAGGCCAAGAAAUCGGCAGCCGGCUCGUGUGAUAAGCCACAUGUCCCCGGGGCGUUUGCGUACGUUUCGCGUCAUCGCUUUGCGUUUUGUGCAAAAUUUCAUUGAAAAAAACUCACAAUCAGCGAUGCCGGGAAUGCCACGGCAAGGUAUCAAGUAAGGGCGUGCAGGUUACGGGGGGUCACUGCAACAAACUUGGGCGACUUGGGCCCGGCAGCAGCAACAGCAGCAGCAACCGUUCACUUACGUAAUCAGAAUCCAACCACUGAUAACGCCAGCACUCACGAAAGUGGCUAUCAUAAAGCAGGAUGUUGGUGUCCCUGGACGAUGCGAGUGGACCCUCGGCUGCACGGGCUUGUAGGUGCGAUCGGGAACGGCACUGGCGUCAGGCCGUUAGGAUCGAUUUGCUGAGAGCCGUGACGGUUUUUGUUCGCUUUUUUUUACUGUUGCCUGCUCGACCCCAUCCCAGCCCCCGUGCUCCCGCAGUGGUUGAUGCAUUCGAAUUGGUUGUAUCAGGCGCCCGCUUUACCGUUUUAUCGCGCCUUCCUCCUUGCGGGUGCGUCCGGCAACGCCUGCUGUGCCGACUACGAUUACGACAUCGCGAGUGUGGCUCCGGCUCCGUCCUCCGUCCGUUCGCUCGGCACACCCUUUAGCCAGUGUCGGCUGGCGUGUGUAACCUUGGCUGGAGAGCGGAAAUAUCGCUCGAUUGUGUUGGCGGAGGGUGGGAGGGUCGGUUUGUCGGAAACGCUUCGUUUAGCGUACAUUAUCGCAGAAAUUCCCACGGAUGUCGCAGCAGCAGUAGCAGCAGCAGCAGCGGGAGAUGCUUAUCCAAAGCGGCUCACAGUGAGAUGAAGCGAACAGUGACCUUCACAGUGGCGCUAGAUGUAUUCGAUAUCAGGCAAUUGGGCUAGAAUGCGUAGUAAGUAGCUAGAAGUAGUAGCCGAUAUCUUCGUUCGGGCCGUUCGAUUAUUUGGAGAUGAUUAUAGCUUGUGAUGUGCUCUCUGGACUUUGGCAAAAUGGGAAUCACUAGUUCCCCCCAGAGUCGGAGUCGUUCGGAGUAGUAGUCUUCUGAGUCGUAGUCUUGGUCGGAGUCGUCCGGAGUCAUCUGGAGUUGUCCGCAGUCGUCUGGAGUUGUCCGAAGUCGUCUGAAGUUGUCUGGAGUUGUCUGGAGUUGGCCGGAGUCGGCCAGAAUCGUCCAGAGUCAGAAUAAUUCUGAGUCGGUCGUAGUCGGUCGGAGUCAACUGGAGUCGACUCCAACACCGGACGACUCCAGGUGACUCCGAACGACUCUGAAUAAUGCUAGGCGGACCUACCUCCCAGAGUCGGCUCUGAAGUUAUCGGAUCGGAGUCGAGUACAGAUUUUUGUCAACAUAACCCAUCACUAAAUUGUAGCUGAACCACAGCUGCAACCACGCAAAUGAACUCCCGAUACAACAGAUCAAUUGGGAGUGGCGUGAUAAUCUGCCAAAGUUAGCAGCGGGUCCGUGCUAAUGGCUAGCCGUCGUUACAUCACCGCUCGGCUUCCGCAUGUAGGCCUUCGGCAGGUAGUCGAAAAUUUAUCAGCAACCAGCAAGGCCAGCGGUCUUGCGACAUAUAUUGUGCACUGGAGCAAGUGUGCACGCGGGCUCUUGGCGCCUAGAAUUGCGCAGCUUUUACCAGGCGCUGCUCCGGGCGCCUGCUCCAGCUUGUCGUGCCCGUAAAGGAGUGCAUCGGCGCGCAUUACUACUGCUGACCUUGGGGGUUCGCAGUGCCCUGCGGAUGCGGUUUCUGCGGUCCGCGGAUAGAGCUGACAUGGCCUGAGUACAGGGGAAGGGGGAGGGAUAAGGUACGAUUGUACCGAACGUGAGGCGUAAACGCUGUGCCGUUGCGUCACGACAAGCCAUUCAUAUUUUAUCAGCCGUACACAGGGAGCAUCGCGGUGUGGCUCCUAGCGCACACACCAGAAGCUGGCGACCAAUAUAUAGCGAAGGUUUUUUUUUCUCUCUCUCUCUUAUCAAACCAAACGGCACAGGCGGAAGUUGGCCCCCAAAAUACCCCCCAUCCCGAGCGGAGUGUAUUGCGGUUUCGCGAUACCUACCCAUGCUUCCCAUCAUUUUUUGGGUUGGCAGGGCGAACAAAAAAAUUGCGCACCACAUAAGCGAGCGAGCUAUCGAUGGAAAGGGUCAGAAAGGAGCGUCAGAAAGGGAGCACACACACACACAUACUCACACACACACACACACACACACACACAAGCAAGCAAGCAUACAGAGAAAAAAACCCAAACCAUUCAGGGGGCACCGGCGUGAUAGAUUAGUGUGGCCGAGUGGCGCCACCGCGCGAACGCAACAUUUAGAGCGAGAUUAGAUUGAGAAGAGGCAGAAAAUAAACGAGUUGUGUCACUUUUUCA